UACGAAGGGGGCUAGCGUUGUUCGGAAUUACUGGGCGUAAAGCGCGCGCAGGCGGUCCUUUAAGUCAGGGGUGAAAGGCCCAGAGCUCAACUCUGGAACUGCCUUUGAAACUAGAGGACUUGGGUACGGGAGAGGUGAGUGGAAUUCCGAGUGUAGAGGUGAAAUUCGUAGAUAUUCGGAAGAACACCAGUGGCGAAGGCGGCUCACUGGCCCGUUACCGACGCUCAGGCGCGACAGCGUGGGGGAGCAAACAGG
rnacentral:rRNA from 1 species